CUGGGAGAUGGUCUACACAACCUCACUGAUGGGCUGGCCAUAGGUGCUGCCUUCUCUGAUGGCUUCUCCAGUGGCCUCAGUACCACCUUAGCGGUCUUCUGCCAUGAGCUGCCCCACGAACUGGCUACCAGCCCUGCUUCGUCCUCCGGAGCCCCUGCCUACGCCCCAUGUGCUCCUGCAGGGGCUGGGGCUGCUGCUGGGGGGUGGCCUCAUGCUUGCCAUAGCCCUGCUGGAGGAGCGGCUACUGCCCGUGACCACUGAGGGCUGACCGGGCCAGUGGAAAGGGGUUGGGUUGCCCUUCCUUCCCCCCAGGCACAGGAAUGGAGGCGGGACACAGGGCCAGUAGGAGCAAUAGGAUUUUAAUAAACAGAACCCAUCCC
rnacentral:sRNA from 1 species